rnacentral:rRNA from 1 species
UACGUAGGGUGCAAGCGUUAAUCGGAAUUACUGGGCGUAAAGCGUGCGCAGGCGGUUUUGUAAGUCAGAUGUGAAAUCCCCGGGCUUAACCUGGGAACUGCGUUUGAAACUACAAGGCUAGAGUGUGACAGAGGGGGGUGGAAUUCCACGUGUAGCAGUGAAAUGCGUAGAUAUGCGGAGGAACACCGAUGGCGAAGGCAAUCCCCUGGGCCUGCACUGACGCUCAUGCACGAAAGCGUGGGGAGCAAACAGG